GCACUGCUGAGGAGUCCCACGACAGGACGAAGCAGCCGUCCAGUAC
rfam:Schistosoma curassoni strain Dakar, Senegal genome assembly, scaffold: SCTD_contig0011957